rnacentral:lncRNA from 1 species
UACAUAGCAAUGAACUCCUUGUAAUAGUUUCAAAGGAACUAAUAACUUUUAGAAAUGUGUUAAUAGUAAAUGUGCUAAUAUAACGGUUUAGAAGAUUAGUGAUGCAUUCUUUUCCACUGAAAGAAGAAUAUAAUAAAUGUCUCAGGUGAUUCAGGCUGUAGCAAUUUUUGUUGGCGAUUAAAGCUUGAUGGACCUUUGGUUGAGUGAUUAACCCUUUGGAAAUUAAAACCCAGUGCUAAAAUAUUCAAUCUAAUUUAAAUGCAAA